ensembl:lncRNA
GGAAAAGUGGAAUGAGAUGAUUUCAGCUACAGCACUGAGAAACAUCAGAGAAGCAAAGUGGAAUGUUCCCACACUCAUGCCUUUCACUGAGGAUGUCCAGAAACUGCAUGCGUAUCUCAGUCAAGUGCAGGAAGAGUGGUACAAGUCACUCUCUGAAAACCCCUCCACAAAAGCCUGGAUGGAGCUGUCAAAGGUGUGUUUGUCCCAGAUUAUUCUCUUUAACCGGCGCAGAGAAGGAGAGGUGGCGAGCAUGCCAUUAUCUGCAUUUUCAUCAAGAGACACAUCUGAUCCACAUGAAGAUGUGGACUGGGCACUCUCUGAAGUGGAAAAGAAACUCUGCAGACACUUUUCAAGGAUCAUCAUCAGAGGAAAACGAGGUCGCCCAGUUCCAAUCCUCCUGACUCCAAAAAUGCUUCAAGCAUUAGAACUCCUUGUUGAGCAAAGAGAAGCUUCUGGUGUUUUAAAAGACAAUGGCUACAUGUUCGCAAGACCAGAAGCUAUGACACAUUUCCGAGGUUCAGACUGCCUCCGUGGCUUUGCACAGAUGUGUGGUGCAAAGUGUCCCAAGUCACUGACAUCCACCAGACUGCGAAAGCACGCUGCAACCCUUUCAACAGUGCUGAACAUGACAGACACAGAGAUGGACCAGUUGGCCAACUUUCUUGGACAUGACAUAAGAAUCCAUCGUGAAUUUUAUCGACUCCCUGAGAAGACAUUGCAGCUUGCCAAGAUCAGCAAACUUCUAAUGGCACUCGAGCAGGGAAGACUCGCUGAGUUUCAUGGAAUGAACUUGGAUGAGAUUGGGAUAGAUCCAGAUGGUGUGUUAUUUUACUAUUUUAUGUACCUUUAUGUAGUUUACAUCUGUUCCUUCAAGUUUACUUUGGUAAGCUGUACUUCAUACAUUUUUUUUGUUACUUCAACAGAAAAAGUUGUUGACUGUGACGAGGAAGACCGGAACAUUCAGGAGGAAAACUGUUCAUCUACUGUUGAUGAACUGGACACAGAGGACACACCACUUCAUACUGAAGGUAAUGAAAUUACACCACCACCUCCUAAGAGAUGCAGACCACUACCAUCAGGUGAUGCAACACCCUCAGGAGACAGUAUUCUCAUGUCUUUUUCCAAGGGUAAAACUGUCCCAAAGAAGAAAUCCCCCUGGCAGCAAACUGAGGUGCAAGCAGUGGAGAGGCACAUGAAACAGUUCAUCACAUCUUGUAUUGUACCAGCAAAGAGUGAUUGUGAGAAGUGUUUGAGGAAGGAACCCGAAGCUCUUAAGAAUCGGGACUGGCAGAACCUGAAAUUCUAUGUUUACAACCGCAUCACAGCCUACAAAAGGAAACUGCAAGAUAAAUAAAAUUGAACUAAGGUCAUGUUCUUCAGUUUAAUAUAUAUAUAUGUAUAUAUAUAUAUAUAUAUGUUGAAAUUUUUUUUGAAUAAUAGUUAAAUUAAAGGUUCAUCUUUGAUAUUAAAAUUGUGAGUUGGCUGUUUUGGGUAUACAUAGUGGUUAGAAGUAUAUUCAUUAUAGUGGCCUGGUUAGUAGUGGAUAGCU